CAGAUUUAGAAAAGAAAGAAAGAAAGAAAGAAAAAGAACUUGAAAGACACACAAAGUAGUUUGCCAAGGCUCAAAAGUUUUUGGAGCCGUGAGGGAUACAGCAGUUUGGUCAAUAUUGUUUUAACAUGCUUCAAAUAAAUCAGAGAUAAUCACUGCUAAGCAUUUUGGGGUGUAUACUUCUAGAUUUUUUUCCUAUGCAG